UUUUCUAGAACUUGAAUUAUUUUAAAAUGAUUAAUUGACAUUUUAUUCAUACAUUGAUGGAAAAGAGGUACCUAGAGCCCCUUAGGACUAUCCUUUGAUGAUUAAAUUAUACAUUUUUGCUAGUCUCUUUGAGAAGUGGUAAAUUUGUCAAUGCUUUUAUAGGUUUUAAUAAAGAUUUCUAAGAAACGUGAAAAAGACC
rnacentral:lncRNA from 1 species